rnacentral:rRNA from 1 species
AGAGUUUGAUCAUGGCUCAGGACGAACGCUGGCGGCGUGCUUAACACAUGCAAGUCGAACGGAAAGUGCUCUUCGGAGUGACUCGAGUGGCGAACGGGUGAGUAACACGUGGGUGAUCUGCCCUGCACUUUGGGAUAAGCCUGGGAAACUGGGUCUAAUACCGAAUACACCCUGCUGGUCGCAUGGCCUGGUGGGGGAAAGCUUUUGCGGUGUGGGAUGGGCCCGCGGCCUAUCAGCUUGUUGGUGGGGUGAUGGCCUACCAAGGCGACGACGGGUAGCCGGCCUGAGAGGGUGUCCGGCCACACUGGGACUGAGAUACGGCCCAGACUCCUACGGGAGGCAGCAGUGGGGAAUAUUGCACAAUGGGCGCAAGCCUGAUGCAGCGACGCCGCGUGAGGGAUGACGGCCUUCGGGUUGUAAACCUCUUUCAAUAGGGACGAAGCGCGAGUGACGGUACCUAUAGAAGAAGCACCGGCCAACUACGUGCCAGCAGCCGCGGUAAUACGUAGGGUGCGAGCGUUGUCCGGAAUUACUGGGCGUAAAGAGCUCGUAGGUGGUUUGUCGCGUUGUUCGUGAAAACUCACAGCUUAACUGUGGGCGUGCGGGCGAUACGGGCAGACUGGAGUACUGCAGGGGAGACUGGAAUUCCUGGUGUAGCGGUGGAAUGCGCGAUAUCAGGAGGAACACCGGUGGCGAAGGCGGGUCUCUGGGCAGUAACUGACGCUGAGGAGCGAAAGCGUGGGGAGCGAACAGGAUUAGAUACCCUAGUAGUCC